rnacentral:rRNA from 1 species
AACGAACGCUGGCGGCAUGCCUAACACGUGCAAGUCGAACGAGACCUUCGGGUCUAGUGGCGCACGGGUGCGUAACGCGUGGGAACCUGCCCUUAGGCUCGGAAUAACUCCCCGAAAGGGGUGCUAAUACCGGAUAAUGUCUUCGGACCAAAGAUUUAUCGCCUUUGGAUGGGCCCGCGUUGGAUUAGCUAGUUGGUAGGGUAAAAGCCUACCAAGGCGACGAUCCAUAGCUGGUCUGAGAGGAUGAUCAGCCACACUGGGACUGAGACACGGCCCAGACUCCUACGGGAGGCAGCAGUGGGGAAUAUUGGACAAUGGGCGAAAGCCUGAUCCAGCAAUGCCGCGUGAGUGAUGAAGGCCUUAGGGUUGUAAAGCUCUUUUACCCGGGAUGAUAAUGACAGUACCGGGAGAAUAAGCUCCGGCUAACUCCGUG